CUGACUAACAACAACCUGCAGGAUUCAGGAGUGAAGAGUCUUUCUGCUGGACUGGAGAGUCCACAUUGUAAACUGGAGACUCUCAGGCUGUCAGGCUGUCUGAUCACAGAGGAAGGCUGUGCUUCUCUGGCCUCAGCUCUGAGAUACAA